rnacentral:rRNA from 1 species
GCAAGUCGAGGGGUAUAGUUCUUCGGAGCUAGAGACCGGCGCACGGGUGCGUAACGCGCAUGCAAUCUACCUUUUACAGGGGGAUAGCCCAGAGAAAUUUGGAUUAAUACCUCAUAGUAUGUGAGAAUCGCAUGGUUUUCACAUUAAAGUCACAACGGUAAAAGAUGAGCAUGCGUCCCAUUAGCUAGAUGGUAAGGUAACGGCUUACCAUGGCAACGAUGGGUAGGGGUCCUGAGAGGGAGAUCCCCCUCACUGGUACUGAGACACGGACCAGACUCCUACGGGAGGCAGCAGUGAGGAAUAUUGGACAAUGGGCGCAAGCCUGAUCCAGCCAUGCCGCGUGCAGGAUGACGGUCCUAUGGAUUGUAAACUGCUUUUGUACAGGAAGAAACACUCCCUCGUGAGGGAGCUUGACGGUACUGUAAGAAUAAGGAUCGGCUAACUCCGUGCCAGCAGCCGCGGUAAUACGGAGGAUCCAAGCGUUAUCCGGAAUCAUUGGGUUUAAAGGGUCCGUAGGCGGUUUAAUAAGUCAGUGGUGAAAGCCCAUCGCUCAACGGUGGAACGGCCAUUGAUACUGUUAAACUUGAAUUAUUAGGAAGUAACUAGAAUAUGUAGUGUAGCGGUGAAAUGCUUAGAGAUUACAUGGAAUACCAAUUGCGAAGGCAGGUUACUACUAAUGGAUUGACGCUGAUGGACGAAAGCGUGGGUAGCGAACAGGAUUAGAUACCCUGGUAGUCCACGCCGUAAACGAUGGAUACUGGCUGUUGGGAGCAAUCUCAGUGGCUAAGCGAAAGUGAUAAGUAUCCCACCUGGGGAGUACGUUCGCAAGAAUGAAACUCAAAGGAAUUGACGGGGGCCCGCACAAGCGGUGGAGCAUGUGGUUUAAUUCGAUGAUACGCGAGGAACCUACCAAGGCUUAAUGUAGUUUGACCCGAUUGGAACAGAUCUUUCGUAAGACAAUUACAAGGUGCUGCAUGGUUGUCGUCAGCU